rnacentral:rRNA from 1 species
UGAGGAAUAUUGGUCAAUGGACGAGAGUCUGAACCAGCCACGUAGCGUGAAGGAUGAAGGUCCUACGGAUUGUAAACUUCUUUUAUAAGGGAAUAAAACCUCCCACGUGUGGGAGCUUGUAUGUACCUUAUGAAUAAGCAUCCGCUAACUCCGUGCCAGCAGCCGCGGUAAUACGGAGGAUGCGAGCGUUAUCCGGAUUUAUUGGGUUUAAAGGGAGCGCAGACGGGUCGUUAAGUCAGCUGUGAAAGUUUGGGGCUCAACCUUAAAGAUUGCAGUUGAUACUGGCGUCCUUGAGUGCGGUUGAGGUGUGCGGAAUUCGUGGUGUAGCGGUGAAAUGCUUAGAUAUCACGAAGAACUCCGAUUGCGAAGGCAGCACACUAAGCCGUAACUGACGUUCAUGCUCGAAAGUGUGGGUAUCAAACAGGAUUAGAUACCCUGGUAGUCCACACGGUAAACGAUGGAUACUCGCUGUUGGCGAUAUACGGUCAGCGGCUUAUCGAAAGCGUUAAGUAUCCCACCUGGGGAGUACGCCGGCAACGGUGAAACUCAAAGGAAUUGACGGGGGCCCGCACAAGCGGAGGAACAUGUGGUUUAAUUCGAUGAUACGCGAGGAACCUUACCCGGGCUUAAAUUGCAAAGGAAUGAUCUGGAAACAGGUCAGUCUUCGGACUUUUGUGAAGGUGCUGCAUGGUUGUCGUCAGCUCGUGCCGUGAGGUGUCGGCUUAAGUGCCAUAACGAGCGCAACCCUCGCCCCCAGUUACUCACCGUUAAAGCUGAGGACUCUGGCGGGACUGCCAUCGUAACAUGUGAGGAAGGUGGGGAGGACGUCAAAUCAGCACGGCCCUUACGUCCGGGGCUACACACGUGUUCCAAUGGGCGGUACAGAAGGCAGCUCCCUGGGGACAGGAUGCCAAUCCCGAAAGCCGCUCUCAGUUCGGACUGGAGUCUGCAACCCGACUCCACGAAGCUGGAUUCGCUAGUAAUCGCGCAUCAGCCACGGCGCGGUGAAUACGUUCCC